GACGAACGCUGGCGGCGUGCUUAACACAUGCAAGUCGAACGGAAAGGCCCUGCUUGCCGGGUACUCGAGUGGCGAACGGGUGAGUAACACGUGGGUGAUCUGCCCCGCACUUCGGGAUAAGCCUUGGAAACUGGGUCUAAUACCCGAUAUGAGCCCUUCUUAGUGUUAUGGUUGGUAAGAUUUUUCGGUGUAGGAUGAGCUCGCGGCCUAUCAGCUUGUUGGUGGGGUAAUGGCCUACCAAGGCGGCGACGGGUAGCCGGCCUGAGAGGGUGGACGGCCACAUUGGGACUGAGAUACGGCCCAGACUCCUACGGGAGGCAGCAGUGGGGAAUAUUGCACAAUGGGCGCAAGCCUGAUGCAGCGACGCCGCGUGGGGGAUGACGGCCUUCGGGUUGUAAACUCCUUUCGCUAGGGACGAAGCUUUUGUGACGGUACCUAGAGAAGAAGCACCGGCUAACUACGUG
rnacentral:rRNA from 1 species